AGGGUGCGAGCGUUGUCCGGAAUUACUGGGCGUAAAGAGCUCGUAGGUGGUUUGUCGCGUUGUUCGUGAAAUCUCACGGCUUAACUGUGAGCGUGCGGGCGAUACGGGCAGACUUGAGUACUGCAGGGGAGACUGGAAUUCCUGGUGUAGCGGUGGAAUGCGCAGAUAUCAGGAGGAACACCGGUGGCGAAGGCGGGUCUCUGGGCAGUAACUGACGCUGAGGAGCGAAAGCGUGGGGAGCGAACAGGAUUAGAUACCCUGGUAGUCCACGCCGUAAACGGUGGGUACUAGGUGUGGGUUUCCUUCCUUGGGAUCCGUGCCGUAGCUAACGCAUUAAGUACCCCGCCUGGGGAGUACGGCCGCAAGGCUAAAACUCAAAGAAAUUGACGGGGGCCCGCACAAGCGGCGGAGCAUGUGGAUUAAUUCGAUGCAACGCGAAGAACCUUACCUGGGUUUGACAUGCACAGGACGCCGGCAGAGAUGUCGGUUCCCUUGUGGCCUGUGUGCAGGUGGUGCAUGGCUGUCGUCAG
rnacentral:rRNA from 1 species